AUUGCACUUCAUCGGUUUGUAAUGUUUUUCAUGGGAAUGUUGUCCACACAUCCUCGUGCACGUUUCUUAGRCUACAAGACCUUUCCAUUGAUGUGAGCCUCUAUGGCAUAUUUCCGCAUUCGAACGCACAGAAAAAGAAGAGGACUUAGCUGAAUUUAUGCUUUUGAACUUACCAAGUAAAGACAGAUUGAAAAAUAUGGCGUUGUUGUGGUCCUGUUGAUAACGUACCUACAGCACUCCCAGCAUCGAUUUCAUUGGGUUUCAAUGUACCCACGUGAUCAAAACGAUGAACCUCAUUGGUUGUUAGUGUCGUUUAGAAGGUGAAUGAGCGCUUGGCGGGCAAACCAUGAUUGACAUUGGUCUCCCGUAACAGACCUCUAGUGUUGUCUACCUAAUUUAUGGAGAUAUCUCUGAUAGGUACCUUAAAUUCAGGAUACAGCUUCCCACCGUUAUGGAUAACGGCAGAAAACCGACUGCCAAGAUUCAGGAAAAAUGUGUUUCACAUUUCCAUGUAUUAGGGAGUYUGGACAGUACCAACGUAUGUUGCCUUUUGAUUACUCUUUGUAAACUGUAUUUAACAAAUAUAUCGAAUCCAAGGUAUUGAAAUAAAGAGCAUGACUUUUAAGAUGUAUA